GAUGAACGCUGGCGGCGUGCCUAAUACAUGCAAGUCGAGCGAACGGACGAGAAGCUUGCUUCUCUGAUGUUAGCGGCGGACGGGUGAGUAACACGUGGAUAACCUACCUAUAAGACUGGGAUAACUUCAGGAAACCGUAGCUAAUACCGGAUAAUAUUUUGAACCGCAUGGUUCAAAAGUGAAAGACGGUCUUGCUGUCACUUAUAGAUGGAUCCGCGCUGCAUUAGCUAGUUGGUAAGGUAACGGCUUACCAAGGCAACGAUGCAUAGCCGACCUGAGAGGGUGAUCGGCCACACUGGAACUGAGACACGGUCCAGACUCCUACGGGAGGCAGCAGUAGGGAAUCUUCCGCAAUGGGCGAAAGCCCGACGGAGCAACGCCGCGUGAGUGAUGAAGGUCUUCGGAUCGUAAAACUCUGUUAUUAGGGAAGAACAUAUGUGUAAGUAACUGUGCACAUCUUGACGGUACCUAAUCAGAAAGCCACGGCUAACUACGUG
rnacentral:rRNA from 1 species